GCGGGAGGAAGCGCGAGACGCCGCCCUGAGAAACCCCAGCGAGAGUCAAGCGCCCUUCUCUGCGCAGCCGGGCUCCCGUCUCCAGCCUGACCCCGGCACCCUUGGGAGCAGAGGACAGAGGGAGGGCUGUGCCGGGACAGCAGCCGCAGCCCAGAUGGGGAGGACUUGCACGAGGAUUCCCUGAAGGGCCCUUCUGGCUGCGGCUACGUCAGGAUGGCAUGGACCUGAGUGAAUGUCUUUGGAAUUCUUGGCCAAGGCGAGAUGGACCAGGCGGUACCUCAAACUCUAGGAAGAGCCUCCAGCUUUCUUCCCACGUCUGGAGGCCUUCAAAGAGCUCCCUGCGAACCUCACAGUAGCUUCUUAACUGCGCAAUCUUGGCAUCGUGGAGCUGCAGAAGACUUUCCGUGUGGUCCUCUGCAAGGUGUCCACUCUCGUCUCCAGGCCCUGCCGCAGAAGGAAGACUGUACGGCCGUUCCUGGCUAUACGCGUGAGUCGGCGCCUCCAGAUGGGAGCCGCAGUGCAUCGUCAGCGGGGACGGGCCACCCUGACUGUAAACUUGAGGCCCACUUGAGUGCAGGCUCCCAAUGAGCAGGUACCUAGACCGCAUAGUUUACCCCUCACUGCCCUCUCAGGACAUGGGCUACACCUGCAGAUGCCGAGUUUAGGAGGCGUUCUCAUCACCGCACCAUUGCCAAAGCAGACGUGCUCCUUCAGAGAAGUACUAGUAGCCUUAGAAGCCAGGUAGUGAGACGGGCCUCCCCAGUGGCCUGGCGGGUUAAGGCUCAGUGCUACGGUGGUACCGUUGCUGCUACGGCCUGAGUUCAAUACCCAGCCCAGGGAGCCAACCCACAGUAAGGUGCAGUGGGCCCCUCCUCUUGCCCACUGCUCCCCUUAGUGGUGUAACUCAGUAAUGUUCACUCUUCCUUCCUGUGUCUCCCCCUUCCCUGUCUGU